rnacentral:rRNA from 1 species
GACGAACGCUGGCGGCGUGCUUAACACAUGCAAGUCGAACGGAAAGGCCCUGCUUUUGUGGGGUGCUCGAGUGGCGAACGGGUGAGUAACACGUGAGUAACCUGCCCUUGACUUUGGGAUAACUUCAGGAAACUGGGGCUAAUACCGGAUAGGAGCUCCUGCUGCAUGGUGGGGGUUGGAAAGUUUCGGCGGUUGGGGAUGGACUCGCGGCUUAUCAGCUUGUUGGUGGGGUAGUGUCUUACCAAGGCUUUGACGGGUAGCCGGCCUGAGAGGGUGACCGGCCACAUUGGGACUGAGAUACGGCCCAGACUCCUACGGGCGGCAGCAGUGGGGAAUAUUGCACAAUGGGCGGAAGCCUGAUGCAGCAACGCCGCGUGCGGGAUGACGGCCUUCGGGUUGUAAACCGCUUUCGCAUGUGACGAAGCGUGAGUGACGGUAAUGGGUAAAGAAGCACCGGCUAACUACGUG